rnacentral:tRNA from 1 species
GGAGAGGUGGCUGAGCGGCCGAAAGCGCCGGUUUGCUAAAUCGGUGUAGGGGUAACACCCUACCGCGGGUUCGAAUCCCGCCCUCUCCG